UUUUCCUACUAACAAGAUUUGAGUAUGAUAAUUGCAGGAAGCAAGUAAAUGCAUUGUACAAGUUCUCUUCGUUCAGCUUCAUAUGCGCCUUUUUUCAGUGGUUCUAUACUGCUGGAGAUAACUGUUGAUUUAAGAGCUUCACUACAUUAGUCCUUCGAGCUUUAUAAGAACAGAAGUGUAGUGUAAUGCAGCUGUAAAUUGCAUGUUUUCUACUGGUCGUGUAGUACCAUGCUUCAUGCUUGUUGUGCUGUUCUCCUCUGAGCUGUGAUGAUUCAUGUUUGAGUAGCUGAAAAGUGAGUAGGUGGGCUGAAGUUAAUAUCAGGAACAACCAUUCUUCAGGUGGCAUUCCAGCAACGGUAUUGAUAGAGGAGCGAGCUUCUUCUUCAGGGGCGAGGUGGCGUUCUGCAGCGACGAGUGGAGUGAGCAGCAGGGUCCACCGCACACAGCAAGGUAGCAUUCACCCACUCCAGGCUCGCUGUCUCCCUCGAACUCUACAACCUAGGGUCCAGGUGAGUGCUCUUAUAAUUUCUUGGCAUUUUUAGUUCUCCUUCUUGACUGGGUUUUACUUGCUCCCGUUGUCAGCCUUACAUACUGGUUUCCAGUAGUUCUAUGUUGUUAAAAUUACAGGAAUAACUUUGUGUGUUAUUACGCAAAAGGAUUUAUGCACAGGUUCCAUUUCUAUGUGAACGAAACCAUGCUCAUAGUCAACCAUCAGUAGAUAGCGUGUAAUGUUCAGGUUUCCACUCCACCUAAUCAUUCAAUUUUUGUAAAUUGAAAGCGAGCACAGAUGCACGCUUGCUGGACAUUAUUUUUUCCGGGUGUUUUGCCAUCUGAUGUAGAUUACUUCUUCCAUGUCCCAAUCUAUAAUGCUACAGCCCUGACUAUUAUGUUUCUGUAUUAGAUUUGUUGUCUGAAGAUUCAACGGAUGACGGCCAGUUUGUGGAAGGUUCAGUAACAAAAUACGAUACUCCUAUGUUGUUAUGUACCACUAAUUAGCUGCUAAACAUUGGUUGCUCGUGCUACCGCUAUCCUUACGCAAGUACAUAGUCAUUGUUGAGAUAUAUUUUGUGUUUUCUACUAAACUUUAACUAACAUAAUAGUGCAAGUAGUCGUUAUGAUGAUCCCAACGUGUUCCUCAAGACUGAGCUCAACUGAGAUCCAUCAUUGCUGCAAGUGGUAAUUUUACUUGAGCUACAAUCUGAUGAUGCUCCAGCUGCGCAGGUCGUCGGUGCGGGACGACCACCUCAGGCCUGGCACGCCGUGGAUGCCAGACGCCAUGGCAUGGCCUGUUCAGCGGUGGCUUUGCGGACAGUGCUGUGGUGGUGUG